AGUGAACGCUGGCGGUAGGCCUAACACAUGCAAGUCGAACGGCAGCACAGUAAGAGCUUGCUCUUACGGGUGGCGAGUGGCGGACGGGUGAGGAAUACAUCGGAAUCUACUUUUUCGUGGGGGAUAACGUAGGGAAACUUACGCUAAUACCGCAUACGACCUACGGGUGAAAGCAGGGGAUCUUCGGACCUUGCGCGAUUGAAUAAGCCGAUGUCGGAUUAGCUAGUUGGCGGGGUAAAGGCCCACCAAGGCGACGAUCCGUAGCUGGUCUGAGAGGAUGAUCAGCCACACUGGAACUGAGACACGGUCCAGACUCCUACGGGAGGCAGCAGUGGGGAAUAUUGGACAAUGGGCGCAGGCCUGAUCCAGCCAUACCGCGUGGGUGAAGAAGGCCUUCGGGUUGUAAAGCCCUUUUGUUGGGAAAGAAAAGCAGCAGGUUAAUACCCCGCUGUUCUGACGGUACCCAAAGAAUAAGCACCGGCUAACUUCGUG
rnacentral:rRNA from 1 species